rnacentral:rRNA from 1 species
CAGCAGCCGCGGGAAUACGAAGGGGGCUAGCGUUGUUCGGAUUUACUGGGCGUAAAGCGCACGUAGGCGGACUUUUAAGUCAGGGGUGAAAUCCCAAGGCUCAACCCUGGAACUGCCUUUGAUACUGUCGAUCUGGAGUAUGGAAGAGGUGAGUGGAAUUCCGAGUGUAGAGGUGAAAUUCGUAGAUAUUCGGAGGAACACCAGUGGCGAAGGCGGCUCACUGGUCCAUUACUGACGCUGAGGUGCGAAAGCGUGGGGAGCAAACAGGAUUAGAUACCCCCGUAGUCCCUGUCUCUUAUAC